ensembl:lncRNA
UUUAUUUUCUUCAUACACAGCAGACUUGACUUCUUCUACGUGUAAUAUAACAUAUUCCAGAGCAAAAAAAGCACCGUGAAAAAAAAAUCAGAACUCGUUCCUAUUUAUCGUCCCAAUUGUAUUAAAACAAUUUCACCUAUUUUUGCUAUUUAGCUAUUUUUGUGCAGCCUCCCCCUCUUAGACUGAGGCUAAGUGAGAGACAGAGUUUUACUUUUUUAGAGGUACUUUUACAACAGGGAAACUGCUUUUCUCAUAAGAAAAUUACCGUGAAGUGAGGGAAACUGACACCCGCUGGAUGGGGAUAAAAAGCGGGAGGAGCAAGAAGGGGGAAACAGUGGAGACAGAUCCACGACACGCGCAAGUCUGCGGAUCGGGAGGGAAAUCAGUGAUUAUGUCCGCAAACGGAUCAAACAACGACGUGGAUCAGAGAGGCCGGGCCGGGUUGUCGGACGGGGAAACCUUCAGGUCUCACGCCGACCCCGAUGUAGACACCGGUGAAUCCACGCAAGUAGACCACGACGGUACAGGCCGGUGUGAGAAGAACAUCACAAACUCUGCCGACGCUCCGGAGCAGAGUAACGCCGUCCGCGAAAGAGCGCAGCAAGGGGGGGAAAUAAUAAUAAGACAACCAAGUUAUUGUUGUCGACGUACAUCAGAAAGAGAAGAAAUGCGGAAAGAUAAUAAAAGUGAAGAGGACAUCGUGACUAUACCGAGCCGGGUCACCGCUGUAGACAAUCCGUCAAAGGAGGAGCAAGAGAGAGUUGUAGCAUCCCGAGCUCUCCGUCCUAUCAUACGCAAUCCUCGUGGGCUGCAGGUCAUGAGACUCCAAGCAGGAAGAGGAGCCCGGCAACGAAGGAAUUUCCAUAAGAGGGAGGUCCUGCGAAUGCUCUCCAGCAUGUACUCCACAACCCUUUUGGCCUAUGUAUCAAUAGCAAACAGCAGGGAUUUGUAAUGUGUGGGGAAUAAAAAAUAAAAAAAUCAUGUCAAACCAGCACUGUAUUCCAGAUCUUUGUUGGACGCCUUUAGAAAACGCUCUCCAGGUCCUCCUUCAAAACCUUAAACGAUCGGCUUGUGUGGCAGCGGUACCCUGACCCGCUGGAGCCGAUAGAAAGUGCUCUUCAACUAUGGCCAGAACGAGCCUGACCGGCAUGAGUAAAUGAAGGGUGUCUUCAAAAGAAUACCGCGGUCAAGUGAGCCCUCACUUACGAAGUCACAGUCAAGCUAGCCGCCCCGCCAGCCGCACCUAAAAUGUGGUUGCACUACUCUUACG